rnacentral:rRNA from 1 species
GACGAACGCUGGCGGCGUGCUUAACACAUGCAAGUCGAACGCUGAAGCUUGGUGCUUGCACUGGGUGGAUGAGUGGCGAACGGGUGAGUAAUACGUGAGUAACCUGCCCUUGACUCUGGGAUAAGCCUGGGAAACUGGGUCUAAUACUGGAUACGACAUGUCACCGCAUGGUGGUGUGUGGAAAGGGUUUUACUGGUUUUGGAUGGGCUCACGGCCUAUCAGCUUGUUGGUGGGGUAAUGGCCCACCAAGGCGACGACGGGUAGCCGGCCUGAGAGGGUGACCGGCCACACUGGGACUGAGACACGGCCCAGACUCCUACGGGAGGCAGCAGUGGGGAAUAUUGCACAAUGGGCGGAAGCCUGAUGCAGCGACGCCGCGUGAGGGAUGACGGCCUUCGGGUUGUAAACCUCUUUCAGCAAGGAAGAAGCGAAAGUGACGGUACGUGCAGAAGAAGCGCCGGCUAACUACGUG